rnacentral:rRNA from 1 species
GACGAACGCUGGCGGCGUGCCUAAUACAUGCAAGUAGAACGCAGUUGCGAAUGGGUGAGUAACGCGUAGGUAACUGCCUGGUAGCGGGGGUUAACUAUGGGAAACGAUAGGUAAUACCGCAUACUACCAGAUGGACCUGCGUUGUAUUAGCUAGUUGGUGAGGUAACGGCUAACCAAGGCACCGAUACAUAGCCGACCGGGGAGGGUGAGCGGCCAAACUGGGCCUAAGACACGGCCCAGACUCCUACGGUAGGCAGCAGUAGGGAAUCUUCGGCAAUUGGGGGAACCCUGACCGAGCAACGCCGCGUGAGUGAAGAAGGUUUUCGGAUCGUAAAGCUCUGUUGUUAAGGAAGCGGUACUUAACCAGAAAUGGAGGGCUAACUACGUGCCAGCCGCCGCGGUAAUUC